AUUGAACGCUGGCGGCAGGCCUAACACAUGCAAGUCGAACGGUAGCACAGAGAGCUUGCUCUCGGGUGACGAGUGGCGGACGGGUGAGUAAUGUCUGGGAAACUGCCCGAUGGAGGGGGAUAACUACUGGAAACGGUAGCUAAUACCGCAUAACGUCGCAAGACCAAAGUGGGGGACCUUCGGGCCUCACACCAUCGGAUGUGCCCAGAUGGGAUUAGCUAGUAGGUGGGGUAAUGGCUCACCUAGGCGACGAUCCCUAGCUGGUCUGAGAGGAUGACGUGCCACACUGGAACUGAUACACGGUACAGACGCCUACGGGAGGCAGCAGUGGGGAAUAUUGCACAAUGGGCGCAAGCCUGAUGCAGCCGUGCCGCGUGUAUGAAGAAGGCCUUCGGGUCGUAAAUUACUUUCAGCGGGGAGGAAGGCGGUGAAGUUAAUAACUUCACCGAUUGACGUUACCCGCAGAAGAAGCACCGGCUAACUCCGUGCCAGCCGCCGCCGUAA
rnacentral:rRNA from 1 species